rnacentral:rRNA from 1 species
AUUGAACGCUGGCGGCAGGCCUAACACAUGCAAGUCGAGCGGAUGAAGGGAGCUUGCUCCUGGAUUCAGCGGAGGACGGGUGAGUAAUGCCUAGGAAUCUGCCUGGUAGUGGGGGAUAACGUCCGGAAACGGGCGCUAAUACCGCAUACGUCCUGAGGGAGAAAGUGGGGGAUCUUCGGACCUCACGCUAUCAGAUGAGCCUAGGUCGGAUUAGCUAGUUGGUGGGGUAAAGGCCUACCAAGGCGACGAUCCGUAACUGGUCUGAGAGGAUGAUCAGUCACACUGGAACUGAGACACGGUCCAGACUCCUACGGGAGGCAGCAGUGGGGAAUAUUGGACCAUGGGCGAAAGCCUGAUCCAGCCAUGCCGCGUGUGUGAAGAAGGUCUUCGGAUUGUAAAGCACUUUAAGUUGGGAGGAAGGGCAGUAAGUUAAUACCUUGCUGUUUUGACGUUACCAACAGAAUAAGCACCGGCUAACUUCGUG